rnacentral:rRNA from 1 species
UGCACCCGAUCCCAUUCCGAACUCGGCCGUGAAACGCUCCAGCGCCAAUGGUACUUCGUCUCAAGACGCGGGAGAGUAGGUCGCUGCCAGGU